ACCUCACGCACGCUCGAGCCGGCACGCUUGUCUCCAAUCGACUCGUCUUCUACGGUUCUACCUCCCUCUCCGUCACUCCCUCUCUCUUGUCCCCGGCGCCCGGCAAGGUCGUCCCUGGCGACGGCCUCCUCCCCGUGCCCGUGUCUGCGCCCCACCUCCUCCCGAUGCGGCUUUUUCUUCUCUCCGGCGAGCAUAGAGUUCCGACGAGCUCCUUAGGGUUCCGGCGUGGCGGCCAUGGCAGAUCCCGCAGCAGAUCCACAUCAGCAAGAAGCCAGAGCUGUUCGAGCCUCUGAAGGCCGACAAUCUCCCAAGGUUCCAAGUUAUCUAGCAGGGGAAGAUCAAGUACAAAGCACAAAGCAUGUAUGAUGUGCGCAAUAUGUAAAUAAGUACAUAUGUGGAUGUUGGCCAUGUUGUAUAGAGAAGCUGCUCAAAUGUGGGCUUUCCUAGGGACUAGAUGUACUGUUGUGCUUGCAGAUGCAAAUGUAUUCUUUUUGAGAUAGACAGCUUACUACGUGUUUUCUUUCCUAGGGUGCAAAUGUGUUCUUUUGAGAUGAACAACUUACCUUAUGUUUUUCUUUUCAGAAUGCAUUGCCUUUUUGUGAAUGUAUACAUGCAGUACCUAAAAGCAUAUGUCUGAGCCUAAUUUGCUUUUUUCCCGUAAUAACCGUGGUCGGUAUUUGGGUCUAGACCACACAAGCUAACAAGCCAAUGUGAAAAACGGCGGGAAAACUUUUCUUUCGGGUGGCAACAAGUUAGCAAUUAGUAUUGUUACCAAAAAUGGAAUAUAAUAAUUGUAAUUUACUGGCCGUGCAGAUAGAUUAUAUUACGGCAGGCCGUGCAUUAGCCGCUUCAUAUAUUAAAUUAAGUGUUGGACAAAUCGAACAAACAUGAGUAGCCUAGUGGUUGAACCGUGAGUUCCUGAACUUGAGGUCUGCGGUUCGAGCUCCCAGCUUGCCCCUUUUUUUGAAUCAUUAUGCAAAUAUUUUGGUGUGGGUACUUGGGCCGAAGGCCUCGCUCGGCCGCGCAACCAGCGCACGAACUUGGGCUGAAGGCGUCGUUAGGGCGCGCAACCUAGCCAUUUAGUGGCAAGGUGGCCUACUUGAAGGGUUGG